CUUAAAGAUGGUAGAAAUAGAUUGGAAUUGGUGGCUCUAUUAAAAAAAAAUUUUAAGUUUAUUGAUUUAUUUUGAGAGAAAGACCACGAGUGGGGGAGGGCAGAGAGAGAAUCCUAAGCAGGUUCUGUGCUGUCAGCACAGAGCUCAAGGCAGGAAUUGAAGUCACAAACCACAAGGUCAUGACCUGAGCAGGGCUCGAGUCAGACGCUUAACUGACUGAGCCACCCAGGCAUUCCUGUCUCUCUUAAUCCAUACAGAAAACUCUAGUGUGUGUGUGUGUGGGGGGGGGCAAUGUCUCCCCAGAUUUGGCCAUUAACAAGAAGACACUAGAACACUGGACAAUGUCAAAUUCAGAGUCCCAGAAGGUGGCCUCUCAUGGGCUCAGUAAAAGGUUGGUUCAAGAAACGGCGGGCUUUAUGAUUAACAGGAAGGACCUCAACUGCAAGGCAGUCUAUGCUGGUUACUCAGCCUGUGAUACCUGUGGCUCGUUCUUCCCCUUCCUGCUUUAUCGACUUCCAAAGAUUUUACUGGGAGAUGAAGCUAUGGCAGGCCUCCCCCCAGCCCCUGACAGAGGAGGCCCGAGGGGUCCUCCCGGAAACGGAAAAUCUUUUCAGCAGCUGAGGUCCAAGGCCAACUGGCUCUGAUAACCUUUGGUUAAAAUGAAACUGAAACUAAAACAACAAUAACACUAAGGACCAUAAUAAUCAGAUAUGUUUGAACCCUGUAACCUUUAGAACAAGGGUCAGUGAGGAGGAGGGAAAGGGGCUGUCUCUCCUCUGAAACCAUCAAUCCCUCCACGUACCUACCCAGGGACCGUUCGGCUGGGGAUGGAAGCCUCUCAGCCAGACCACUAGCAGGCUCCCUCAGCGACAACAACAACAACGGAAAGAACUCACGAUGAAGGCCACCAAGUUCUGAUAAAUAAAAAUUACAUACAGUCA